rnacentral:rRNA from 1 species
GCCCAGUGACAAAUGUUCAACGGCCGCGGUAUCCUAACCGUGCGAAGGUAGCGUAAUCACUUGUUCUUUAAAUGGGGACUAGUAUGAAUGGCACCACGAGGGUUGUACUGUCUCCUCUCUCCAAUCAGUGAAACUAAUCUCCCCGUGAAGAAGCGGGGAUAAAUAUAUAAGACGAGAAGACCCUAUGGAGCUUUAAACUUCUCUUCAAGCACUAACCUAUUACUUUAGGUCACUGACCCCACCACAAUUAUCACCGCGCCAUGGAGAUGAAUUUUAGGUUGGGGUGACCACGGAGUACAAAAAAACCUCCACGCUGAACAGGCCUACUAAGCCUUGAGCAAAGGACCACAACCCAAAGCACUAAAAAACUAACACCCAUUGAUCCAAUUUUAUUUGAUCAACGAACCAAGUUACCCUAGGGAUAACAGCGCAAUCUACUUCAAGAGUUCUUAUCGACAAGUGGGUUUACGACCUCGAUGUUGGAUCAGGGUAUCCCAGUGGUGCAGCCGCUACUAAUGGUUCGUUUGUUCAACGAUUAAAACCCUACGUGA